CUAGAUCUCGCUCUGUAUACCAGGCUGGCCUCGAACUCACAGAAAUCCACCUGGCUCUGCCUCCCAAGUGCUGGGAUUAAAGGUGUGCACCACCACCACCGCAUGCUUUUAUUUCUUUAACAACAUAGUUAUUGAAGUGACAGGGCUUUGCUAAUAGUGUAUGCAAUAUUGGGAGGCUGAUGCAGGGGAUCCAGACUAGGCUACAUAGUAAGACUCUGUCUUAAAAACAACUUAACAACAUAACAAGUUUGUUUGUUUGUUUGUUUUUGAGACAGGAUUUCUCUGUGUAGUACUGGCUGUCCUGGCUCUCACUCUGUAGACCAGGCUGGCCUCGAACUCACAGAGAUCCUCCUGGCCUCUGCCUCCCGAGUGCUGGGAUUAAAGAUGUGUGUCAGUACAGCCCAACUACAAGUAGGCUUUUUUUAAUAAUUACACAAUACAGAACAAACACCAAUUGUUUGAACUGCAUAAAUAAGAUCUUUAUUUUUUACAUUUAUUUAUUUUUAAAAAAACCCUAAUACAUUCUCCUUACUGAUCUCAUUUUACCAUGGGCAAAAGAAAAAUUUAUCAUCAACAGUUUGUGGGCUGGCAUUUGCAAAUCACCAUCAUAGAGAUAUAUUUAAAUAAACAAAUAUCAUCCUCGACUACAGAGUUGAGUUCAAUACCAGCCUGGCCUACAUGAAACUAAACAAAACAAAGCAACGCACAAAAGGCUUUUUAGAAGAGAUGGCACCAAGGCAAGGCAGUCUGGGAAGAGAGGAAACAGAGUGAGUCAGGGGUUUCUGGGUGAGGGAGGAAUGUAGGUAAGGCACGAGGAAUGAGGUGAGCAGGAUGUAAUGACACAGACAUGUAGCAACCCUGCUCAGGAGGAACAUACAUCGUGACAAGGUGACUAAUGACUAAUUGAGAAUGGAUACUAGAGUUCAGUGGGUUCAAGUAAUUCAGCACACAACUGGGUAGAAGCAGAGACUUUUGAGCAAAUACCAUUACACACUCAUGCUUAAGUGCAAGUGGUCAGGCAUUCAGGAAAUAGAUCCACAUUCAUCCAUCCAUUUACCAAAUUUGCAGUUGCUUCAGACCUAUUGUAUGUGCCCGUCCACCUGACAGUGGUAAAUGGAGGGUGAGCAGCACCCUCCCUCACAAACACAGUCCUUGCUCUUACUUUAUGUUCAGGCGCUCCCUUGCCUGGACCUCAGUAACCAUGGCCUACUCAAGCUGCCUUUUUUUCCCUAGUGAGCCUUCAUCAUCAAGAUCUGGAUCAGGUGCCUAGCUUUUGUUAUUGAAAUAAUGCAGCUGUUAAGUAAUGGAUCUUCCCUGUUCCUCUGAAUCAUAUUCAAUUCUGCCGUCAGAGGAACUCUCUGAGAUGCCAAUCAGAUUGUGUCACAGAUAUGUUACUAUCUUUCAUCCCCUUCAUGAUGGAGCCCAGUUCAUUGACAUUCCUCAAGGCUUUUCCUGAUCUGUCUCAUACACACAUCACCUGUCUCCUUCCUCCCACAAAAUCUUCAAUUCUUUGAACAAGUUUUUUUGUUUUUUUGUUUUUUAUCCUUCUGGGACUUCUGAGGCCCUUUGCCUCUGACUCUUCACCUCAGCAUUGCUUGUCUUCCUUCCUCACCCUUUUGUCCAGCUGACAAAAUAUGUCCAAUUCAUAUUUAAUGUCUUGUCUUAGGUGACCUUGCUUCCGGGAAGCUUCGUCAGGGUUAGAGUUCUCUUCUUUGUGCACUUCUGCAGUGGACAGGUUUGAAAGGGUGCCUCUUACUGGUUCCUAGUUCCCUCCAUAAGCAACUUGAGAGCAGGGAAGCAUGCAUUUCUGGAGUCUAGCUUCCUUCUUGGUAUACUGUAGGUGCUAAGUAAGCUCCUGAAUGAUGUGAUGACAGAAUGGUAGAGCAAUUCAUCAGCUCAUUUAGGAAAGCAUUGGCAUAACGCUGGGUGUGGUGGUGCAUACCUAUAAUCACAGUAUCUGGGAGAUAGAGGCAGGAUGACCAGGAGUUCAAGGUUAUCUUUAGUCAUAUAAUGAGUUCAUAUUGUCUUACAGGAAUCCCUGUCUCAAUGCACGCCCCCCCCAAAAAAAAAUAGACAAACAAAAAUGAAACUCUUAUACAUCUCUUUAAAAUGCCAGAAAAGACCAUGUUCUUACUACAUUUCAGAAGUAAAUAUACAGAGUAACCAAUGGUUUUGAUUUUAUUCCUCAUCCACAUCUACAACAGUACAAAAUGUGCAAGGCUCUUUCUGUGCCAUAUGUAAAAUGCUGAGUGCAACCCAUCUGUGAUACAGGCUUAGAUUUAGCUUCCUUUAUUCAAAUCUCUGGAUUUUGUUUUGGUGGUGUUUGUUUUUUCCCUCUCCAUAAAAUGAGAAACCAAAAUAACUGUUACCUUAAAAAAAUAUUUUUCCAGAUCAAUCUGCAAAUGAGCAGACUUUGCGAACAACUAGUGUCAUGAUAAGUCUGCUAGAAUAGGGGUUGGAAGGUCUGCCGCUGUAUGCAAUCAGACUGAAUGCAGCUCAAGUCUGGCCAGGACACAUCUGUUUGAAAAAUGAAAGAAAUUGAAUUGGAAACGUUUCCCCAGGCAUAUGCAGUACUUAUUAGCCCAUAAAAUAUUUUCAUAGGUAUCAAUAUAGAAGUUUUCAAUUUUUCUAUGUUUCAAGAAAAUUGCUACCCAAAGUAAGGUACAGUGCCACGUGUCUCUGAAUUCUUUGUUAUCUUAAGUUGAGAAUAAUUCCCUACUCAGCCUAUUUAGUUAGUUUGUUAUUUGAUAAUUUUAAACAUGUACGUAAUGCGUUUUGGUCACUCCCCUGCUUUUAAAUCUUCCUCCCAUCCAAAUCAACCAUCCUUCUGACCAGUCCUUUUGCAGCCCAUCCUGUUUAACCAGAGACAUUUAUGUGACUAUUGGACUGGAACUAUCCUCUGGAGACUAGUGAGGUCACCAGUGGACACACUAUUGAAGAUAAUACUUCCCUCUCUCCAUGAAUUUAUCCGUGGAAACCAUCAGGGAGGGCUAGGACCCCUGAGCACCUGCUUUAAUCUAGUCCUUACUAUUAACAGACCCACUCUUGCUCAGAUCCAGUGCAGGCAUCUGCUGCUGCUGGGUUUAUGAUGCCCAGAAGAUGCCAUUUCACAUCCUUUCUCCCUAUCCUCUGGGUCUAACAUUCUUUCUUAUGCUUCUUUUGCAGUGUUUCUUGAACCUUAGAGGGACUAGUACAAAUGUCUUGUUUAGGGCAGAACAUCAUCACUUUUUCUCAGCACAAUUGUACAGCCAUGAGCCCCUGCAUUCCUCACUAUUCCCUGGAAAGAAAGGUUGCCCUGAUUAAGGCAGAAAGCAGAUUUUUUUUCUGUUGGUAUAACUAUAAACACAUAGAAGGCAGCUUGAUGCUAUGUCAGUACAGCUAAGCAUUAGUAUUCAGUUCCACCUAUGAUCUCCCCUGCUAUGGGAUUUAGACCAGGUCUUUAGUAACACAGAUGGAUUCCCUCCUGCGAGCCAGCCUCAGAUCUCGUCAGAGAGCAGUUGGCAAUUCCUCCUGGCACCAAUGCCACGGUUGUACAUCUUGUCUGCAAGGUUGGUCUUGACGAUCACAGGUUCACAACUGGGUAAGACCAUAGAUGCUCUCUCUCCCCCAGCAGCCUGCGUAGUAUUUUCUGGGACUGUGAAAGCUAGCCAGUAGGAAGAAGCUUCUUGCUCAGUUCAGGUUGAUUUCUCUCUGUCGUGCAACCAAGGUAUUUUUAGCUGUAAGGUCUUACUUAGUUCUGAUGGGAGACCAAGAGAAGUGGCAAGAGGUUGUCUUGCUGUGGGGGCCUAUGGGACUUCCUAACCAAUAACUACAGGUGUUAGGCCUCACCGGAGAAGGGGAAGUGGCGAACCAGAAGCGGAGCCGGGGGCCAGCACCAAAGGCCGGAGCAUGACCAGCAGGAGCAGCCGGCCGGGGUCGGGCCCCAGCUCGGUGGCCACACCCACUCAGGGCACGGCUUCACCAUGGCAUGGCACCGGCUCUGCCACGCGACCCACGCUCCGCCAACGCCGCUGGCACUGGGAUUUUUGUUCAAUAACCUCAGGCUUCUUGGAGCAGUUUCUUCCAGCCAUGCAGGCUAUCUCCCUUCAAAAUAUUUUUGUAUUAUGAAUUAUUAACUUUGGUUACAUGAUAGUAGGCUCCACACGGCCUUUUUGUGCCCCUUCAUCUAGGUUUACCCCCUGCAACCUCUUCGUCUCCCCAUUCCCCAACUGCUUUUCACUUAAAGCUUCCUGCCUCGGUAUUACCAAUCUCCAUUUCUCUAUUAUCUACCUUCUAUUACUACCCCUCCAUUACAGCAUUCCCCUCUCAAUGGCCUCUUUCCACUUUUCUGGCAUCUACAAGUGCUCUGAACUGACACACAGAAUUGAAGGUUUGAAGCUAGGACCCUCAUAUGAAAGAACGAGUGGUAUUUGUUUUUCUGUGCCUGGGUUACCUUACUCAGUGUAAUUUUCCCCCAUUCCAUCCAUCUGUCCUGAAAUUUUUAGUUUCAUUUUUUCCUAUAGCCGAGUAAAAUCCCAUUGUGCAUAUGUAUCAUGUUUUCAUUAACUGUUCAUCGGUAUCCCGUGGCUAUUGUGAAUAGAGUGGCAAUGAGUACGAGUGAGCAAAUUUCUCACUAGGAGGAUCCCAGAGCCUUUGUGUGUAUGCUCACUGGCCUGUUUUGAAAAGUGGCAGGGCAUGCCUAGGAAGAUGGUUUUUUGUGGGACAGGCGGCUUGAAAACCUUUGUUUGGGCUACAACCAGAGAGGUUGAGUCCACCGGAUCCUGAAAUUCAGUAAUAAUUGUGAUGGAGGACGAUAUGCUAGCUCUUCCCUGGUCUUGCACUAAAUCAGAGCCCCUGGGAGAGGCAUUUUGGGUCGAAUCUGGAUGGCAGAGGAGGUUUAGGAACGGGGCAUUUUCUACAUUUUGGAUCAAAACACGUUACAGCGAUGGCGCGGAGGGCUGUGAAACGUGGUGUCGGUUUUGGUCCUGAGGAUGUCCGGGAGACAUAACUUUCAUCAGUGAUAAUGCAUACCUUCAAGGGACUUUUCAACCGUGGCUGGGAGAAAGAUUGGUUUUCAUCACAAAAAGAUCCACAGGAAACUUCGAAGGUAUAGUUGGGGUAAAGGGGAAUUUCGCAACAGAAAUUCCCAGAAAGUAUAUUUCUGAUGAAAUAUGAAGGAGCUCAUUAAGUUUUAGCAGUUGCUAUUUAACAAAAGCUCAUUUGUAUCCACAAGAUGGUGAGACCAUGGGGAAUUUGGAUUAGAUUUGUGAAAGGCUAUAUGGAUCCAGUUUCUAAGACACACACUGCUACUGUGCCAUUUCAUGGGAGAAUUUUUACCAUCAUUAUUCAUACUUACUGUGUAUGAAACAGGAGGCACUGGCCACAUGUGCUUUUUGAAUACUGGAGACAUGUUUCAUGUUUCAUGCGAAUGAAGUAUAAAAUAGAAGUCAGAGCUUUAAGACAGCACAAAAAUCAUGUAAAAUAGUAAUGUUUCUGUAUUUAUCUACUCAAUUUUGAAAUAAUAUUUUUAAUAGUUUAAAUAGAACAUAUUAAUAAAUUACUUUAGAUGUCUCUUUAGUUUAUUUCAAUGUGUCUAUUAGAAUAUUAUAAAUUAUACAUGUGGCCUAAGUUAUAUACUUCUAUUGGAUGAAGCUGAGCAAUACUCAUUAUGUAGGUAGCAAAUUGUGUGCACUUAUUUUAUUUUUAAUUCAUUAAUAUAAAACUCCGACUUGAUAAUCUGAAAUUUUCUUAAUGAAAGGUUCUAUGUUUCUAUUUUUCAUUUUUUUCCCAGAUGUUUAAAAGAUUGUUAGGACCUGGUAGAUUUCAGCUUGGACUGUGAGCCAAAUUUACGUUGUUAUGAAGCGACUUUAGUUCAGAAGAAGUGCUAGUGAAUAACAGAAUUAUGUUCAUUCUAUCUCGGGCUCAUACUUCCAUCUCCUUGUUUUACAUUUUUAAAAUGGGAAGUUUUAGAAAGGCAUUGGACAGAUUUAGUCAAUAAUGUUUUUACUUACUUCUAUAAGGAAAAAAGUAUUAGCUGAUUACUAAAAUGAACAAUUAUUAUUUUCAGGUUCUUUAAAAUGCAAACGUAUUAUAUAUAUGUUAUAGGCUUUCAUUUUGUAACCCAGGCUGGCCUGGAACUUACAUGUGGCAAGCUCCCUGCAUCAGCUUCCCAAGUAGCAAGAUUUCUGAUAGGAGCUACCACACCUGGCUUGAAGUAAAAUUUCUACUGAAGACUUACUGUAAUAAUUGCAAGAAAUUCUUGUAAACUUUGUAGGAAAAUUACCAGGUAAUUUCUUUUAGCAAAAUAUGUUUCUUUACCUCCUUUCCUCCCCCUCUUCCUUUUUUUCUAUCAUUGUACUUUCAUAUUAAUAUUUUUGCAAACCAUUUGAAAGAUAGCUAUAGAUAUUAUACUUCUUUGCCUGAAAAUAAAUCAACAUUUACUAAGAAUAAGAAUAUUCUCUUAGAAAACUAUAAUACAGUGACAAAUUUCACAAAACUUAGUGCUAACCUAGUGUAAUUGUCUGUUGUAGAAUACAUAUUCAAAAUUCACUAACUGUCCAAGUCUGUUUCAGGAGCCUGCAUGGUAACUAAUUUCCAGGUCUCACUUUCCUUCCUUUAAUCUAGAACUGUUUCCUGUCUUCCUUUUCUUUUGUCCUCCAUGAUACUAAUGUUUCUGUCUAGAACAAUUGUUUUUCUUUCUUUCUUUUUUUUAUGUGCAUUGGUGGUUUUGCCUCUGUGUAUGCCUGUGUAAGAGUGCUGGGCCCCCUGGAACUGUAGUUACAGACAGUUGUAAGCCACCAUGUGGGUGCUGGGAAUUGAACCCAGGUCCUCUGGAAGAUCAGUCAGUGCUCUUUAACUGCUGAGCUAUCUCUCCAGCCCUCUAGAACAACUGUUUUACAUAUCCUUUGAGGUCAGUUUCCUAGUGAUAAGGUGGAGGUAAGGAGCCCUUUGACAGAAGAGCAGAAGUCAUGCUGUGAUCUCAGCAUGGAGAGCUCAGGAGUGCAUGGUAUCUGGGUGUCUUUUUGUGGAUGUCUGUUUGGCGAAGGUGAAGUACACGGGGCUUUUGCACAUAUAAUUGUACCAUUUUCUGUUGAAAUUAAUCAGCAAUCAGCAGAGAAAACCUUUGUCUACCUAAUUCCUCAUUCAGUUUGCUUCACUACUUUUAGCCUGUAUUGUUGUUUUUUUGAAAUACUGUUUCACAUUUUUAAGCCAAAACAAUAUAUUCUAACAGAUGAAAUGCAGUAGAUACUCCAAACAAAUUCUACUAAGUGAACAUUAAAGACAUUUGAAAAAGUGUGUGGUGAUAUUCUGUAUAUGCUCUAACAAAUAAAGCUUGCCUGAAGAUCAGAGGGCAAAGCCAGCCACUAGCUAGCCAAAGAGGCCAGGUGGUGUUGGCACACACCUUUAAUCCCAGACCUCGAGAGACAGAGGGAUCUCUGUGAAUUCAAGGUCACCCUGGGCUACACAAGAUUAAUUCUGUCUAAAAGAGAAACAGCCAGGUAGUGGUGGCACACACCUUUGAUCCCAGCACUUGGGAUCUCAUGCCUUUAAUCCCAGCAAUAGGGAGGUGGAAAUAAGAAAUGAUAUGCCUGGGCAGAGAGAUGAGUAUAUGGCAGGAAGAGACAGGAGCUGAUAGCCCUUUUGGCUGAGGAUUGCGUAGAGGUAAGAACUAGUGGCUGGCUGCUCUGCUUCUCUGAUCUUUCAGCUUUCACCCUGAUAUCUAGAAUUUGUGCUACAGAAGUGUGAACCAAUUCUACCCAGGAGAUUAUUUUUGCUUUGUUUUGAUUUUGUUUUUCGAGACAGGGUUUCUCUGUGUAGUCCUGGCUAUCCUGGAACUCACUCUGUAGACCAGGUUGGCCUCAAACUCAGAAAUCUACCUGCUUCUGCUCCCUGAGUGCUGGGAUUAAAGGUGUGUACCACCACUACUGCCUGGCUGAGGGGCUUAUUUUUAUGUUAGAAAUUAAGCUAUUUAUCAAUAAAUAUAUUGUUUAUUUUUAUUGAUUUGUAACUGGUUUAUGGAAGGUUUUGGAUUCCAUAUUUAAACUAGCUAUUAUUAUUUCAUAAUGAAAUAAAAAUUGAAAAAAUUCUUAGUAUUAAUUUGUGUAUAAACAUUAGUGGGUAUAAACUACAUAAACACAGCCCAAAGAGCCUCUUUAUAAAUAAGGUGUCUUGGGCUGUGGCUGUAGCUCUGUGGUAGAGCACUAGCUACCAUUCAUGAGGCCCUGAGUUCCAGAUCCAGGAUUGCAAAAACAAUUUGAGAACUAUUUUUUUUAAGGUCUAAUGCAAUGCUGACAUUUUAAAAAAAAAGAUUUUUAAAAAUUAAAUUAAAAUUAUUAAUUAAUUUUACAUCCUGACUGCAGUUUCCCCUCCCUUCUCCCAGUCUCCCCCUCCCUGCCAAUACUGACAUUUUUACAACCUGGAAAUAUCUUGGGACAGUGGCAAUGAGGAAGAAUUGAGACUGAGUGAGAUUCACUAAUUAAACCAAUGACAAAUCUUUUGUCAUUUAUAGGUGUGAGAUUUUUCCAUUGCAACAGGGACCCAGACCUUAGCACAUGACUCCAUGAUGGAAGUACCAGUCAUGCCAAAAAACUCAGCACAUAGACACCACCACCUGCCAAAAUGAAAACAACCCAAGUCCAUUGUUCUGAUCUGGAAACUGGUCAGUGCUGGGCCAAAUCCGUGCAAGCCUCUGACUGUCUACUUCUGGGUUCCAUGCUGGAGAAGUUGAUCCUGGCUUCUGGAAAGACAAGCAUGCAGGCUUAGCUUAUACUUUUAGAUUUCUAUAUUCCUGGACCCUUCAGUUGAAGUUCCUGGCUAGCCAUGGGGAGGCUCCAGACAUCUGCGAUCCAGCAACAUGGUGAAGAACCUGUGUCAGUCAGCUUUGAAUCAUGGUGACUACUAAAUACCUGAUAAAUGGCUUUAAAGGAAGGAAAGCUUGCCUCACAGUUACUAUGGUCUCAGGCCUUAGUCAUCCGGAUCCAUUAAUUUGGGGAACAAGAUCCUUCACCUCUGAACUGGACAAAAGGGUAGGGCCUGGAGUGCUGGAUGCUGACCUACAAAAGUGCUGCUCAAGAGAAUAUACCGAAAAUAUGUUGUCUAUAUACGCAGCGUUUGACCUACUCUCCUCCAGAAAGCGAAAAGUUUCAGUCCAUUGUUACCAAAAGAGUCAAAUUCUUGUGUAGAAAUGAAAAGACAAAAUAAAACUGUCCUUGCAA